UGGGGAAUUUUGGACAAUGGGCGAAAGCCUGAUCCAGCCAUGCCGCGGGAGUGAAGAAGGCCUUCGGGUUGUAAAGCUCUUUUAGUCGGAAAGAAAGAGUUGCAAUGAAUAAUUGUGAUUUAUGACGGUACCGACAGAAAAAGCACCGGCUAACUACGUGCCAGCAGCCGCGGUAAUACGUAGGGUGCGAGCGUUAAUCGGAAUUACUGGGCGUAAAGGGUGCGCAGGCGGUCUUGCAAGUCAGAUGUGAAAUCCCCGGGCUUAACCUGGGAAUUGCGUUUGAAACUACAAGACUAGAGUGCAGCAGAGGGGAGUGGAAUUCCAUGUGUAGCAGUGAAAUGCGUAGAGAUGUGGAAGAACACCGAUGGCGAAGGCAGCGCCCUGGGUUGACACUGACGCUCAUGCACGAAAGCGUGGGGAGCAAACA
rnacentral:rRNA from 1 species